rnacentral:lncRNA from 1 species
AUGAGGUUCGAUAAAAAUGUAAGGGUGUAAGAAAUGAAAAAGAAAGUAUUAGUACCACAAUAGCUCGACGUUGUGGGAGGAAAAUGUCCAAACUAUUCUACAGAUUUUCAAUUUCCUUCAAUCCGUUGAAAUUUCAAUAGAUAGAACUUGUAGACGAAGAAGACUUGGGCACAAUUGUGGAAUUUAUUGCUCGAAUGGAGACAACAACACUAAACCAAUUCUAUUAUUUGUC